UACGAAGGGUGCAAGCGUUAAUCGGAAUUACUGGGCGUAAAGCGUGCGUAGGUGGUUUGUUAAGUCUGCUGUGAAAGCCCUGGGCUCAACCUGGGAAUGCCGGUGGGUACUGACAAGCUAGAGUGCGGUAGAGGAGGGUGGAAUUCCCGGUGUAGCGGUGAAAUGCGUAGAGAUCGGGAGGAACAUCAGUGGCGAAGGCGGCCCUCUGGACCAGCACUGACGCUGAGGCACGAAAGCGUGGGGAGCAAACAGG
rnacentral:rRNA from 1 species